rnacentral:tRNA from 1 species
GCCGGGGUGGUGUAGAGGCAACACGACAGUCUGCCAGUCUGUUAUCGCGGGUUCGAUUCCCGUCUUCGGCU